rnacentral:rRNA from 1 species
AUUGAACGCUGGCGGCAGGCCUAACACAUGCAAGUCGGGCGAACGAGGCUUCGGCCAAGUGAGCGGCGAACGGGUGAGUAACACGUAGGAAUCUGCCUGGUAGUGGGGGACAACGUCUCGAAAGGGACGCUAAUACCGCAUACGCCCUACGGGGGAAAGCAGGGGCUCUUCGGACCCUGGCCUAUCCGAUUAGCAUGCGGCGGCUUAGGGAUUUGGUAGGGUAAAGGCCUACCAAGGCGACGAUCCGUAACUGGUCUGAGAGGAUGAUCAGUCACACCGGAACUGAGACACGGUCCGGACUCCUACGGGAGGCAGCAGUGGGGAAUAUUGGACAAUGGGGGCAACCCUGAUCCAGCCAUGCCGCGUGUGUGAAGAAGGCCUUCGGGUUGUAAAGCACUUUAGGUCGGGAGGAAGGUUCGCUGGCUAAUAUCCAGCGGAAUUGACGUUACCGACAGAAUAAGCACCGGCUAACUCCGUGCCAGCAGCCGCCGUAA